GCGGCCAGGUAGUCGGUGGCCACCGCCUGUGGCUGCAGGUCGUAGCUGGCGCGCAGCAGCGGUUCGAUGCCGGCCGCGCCGCG
rnacentral:tRNA from 1 species